CCCUUCCCUUUUCUAACAGAAGCUUUAAUAGUUUCUUGCUACUCUCAAUGGAUUUAUCUUGCACAGUGGUACUUGCACCCUACACCAGAGCCCUACUGUUCUAGUGGACCUUCAGCAUUGAUUCAUCCCAGUCUUCAGCUGAAAGAUUCCUUUUUCUCCAAGUUCCUGCGACUAAAGAUCUGUGUGUGCAAAGGCAGUCAGCAGGCCUUUGUUCUCUUGAGAUCUUAUUCCAAGAAAUUAUGUCCAAUUAUUUGGUAAUGGAGUGACUAAAGCAAGGCUUUAGCUGUCCUGUAAUUUCCCUUAUCAGCAAAAGCAACAACAGGAAAAUCAGGUACUACUCACUUGCUUUAUUUUCUUAGAAUUCAACUCAUGUUUAUAUCCCACGUGAAUACCGAGACAGACAGACUCCAUGAACAGUACACAAAUGCAGUGUAUUGCUUUGGUUCAUUUUCAUGAGCUUGGCUGAAUUAAUUAGGUGAAGUUAAAGAAAAAUCUCUGUGUUGAAGGCAUUUCAAGGUCAAAGAAUCAUCCCUUGCUGCACCGAGCUGCUUGUGCUGCACACACUGCCUUUCAAAAAAUUCUUAGGAAAGUGAACUUCAAGAAAAAUCUGCGUAUCUUCUACAAAGCUCUGUCAAGUAGGGCAGUAAACCCCUCUCCAACAAGCAAUACACCAAUGCCAUAUAAACACGUUAGCUGUUCCUAUCCAUCAGCUGCAAUACGGCACCACUGGAUCAAUUACAAAAAAAAUAACGCACGAGAGUCUCAGAUCCAUCAAGACAGCAACGCAAGCUCACCAAAAAAUGAAAAGGAUGGCUCAUUCCAGGAUGUGGACAAAAGUAAAAAGACAUCUCUGCAAAAGGACAAAACACAGGCAAGCAUAAAGAAGUUUGUUUGCAAGCCCAAAUCCAGCUCUGUGCUCUCCAUCUUUUCCUCACUGAAAGUGCAUCCAUCAAUUCCUGGCCUCCGCUUCAAAUAAAAUAGAAUGGAGAAUGCCAGCAAAAUGGUUGAGCAACCAACUAACUAACCAGACCAAAAAAAGAAAUAAUUAAUUUUUCCACUGUCUGACAAAUUGGUUUGGGUUUCAAGGGGACAGUUAUGGAGUCAUGAUUAAGUGGACUUAAUGCACACAACCUGCCAAGCUGGCUUUUUGGAUUCCCCCCCAGAAGAGAUGUGGCUCUUCCUUUUGAGUCCAGAAGGACAUAAUCUGGAGGAGGACGAUUUCUGCAAAUGAAGACAUUUGUUAGAAAAAGACACUUGGAACCAAAGAGAGGAUGGCAGUGCCUGCCUGGCAUGAGGACAGCAGAGAGAGGGCAGCAGGAGUGUAGGAGGAGUCAAUCAUUACCCAGUGACACAGCUGCCAAGCAUCAGGAACAAAAAGGUCAAGGACCUCUUGACUCGUCAUUUCCCCAGUGCCACUGUCCUAAAAAUGAAGAUCUUGGAUAUCUUCUUCCAUUUUUCCUCUCUAGAAAGGGAAAACAAAGAUAUGGGUAGGCAGAAGAAGAGAGAGAAGUUAAGGUGCGCAGAAGUCUGUAAAAACAUAACAAAAAUCUUAACUUUUCUAAUGGCACCAAAGGUAGAUCUGCCCAGCAUCUGCAGACUCCUAUUUGAUUUUUUAACAGGCAUUACAGGAAAGAAGAAGCAGAGAGGAGCUCUCAACCUCCAGAAGAGCAACAGCAGAUGGGAAAAAAGUGAUCUCACAGAAACCUACGUUUCCAGCUCAAUUAACAGUGUGCAGCUUAGGCUGGAAGAGGACUUGAGCAGGCACUGUGCUGCAGCUGAGGUGUAAAAGCUGAAGGAUGAACAUCAGCAGAUGGGCAGGUCCGAAAGGAUGCUCUAUGCCCAUUGGGGAGCUGCUGGGAAGCACAAAACCCAUUGAAACCACAAAGCUAUGGAUGGGUUCCUAGUGCUGCUGGCAGCAAGAGAGGAGCAAAGCUUCCAGAGGCACUGCGCCUGCCUUGCAGGGCCCCUCUCGUCCCUCAGCCCUCACUCUUUGAAGCACAGCCCCAUUGUUUGCCUGUCUUUGAAGUGCCAAAUGGGAAACAUCCCAGCAGUCCUGCGUGUGGGGACAAUAAAUAGGCAGCUGGCAUCGCAUUGAGGCGGGAGGCAAUGGGCAGCACCCACCUCCCAUUUGCACUAAUUGCAUCCCUCUUGUUUUUGGAGGAAUGGUUAAUGACACAUUUUUCAUUUCCUUCUCCGCAUCCCUCCUCUUCAUUAUUGUUUGUGAGCAAAAUCCUUCCGGCUGCAAGACCUUGUCUUGCUCUAUCCAUUAGCUGAAAUCCAAGGCAUCUCUUCUUAACUUUCCCCUCUCAGUCCUGGGACAGCUCCUGUUCAGAAGACCCUAGGACCUUUUCUCUUCUGCAAGUGCAACCCAAAGCACUCCAGACAGGGCCAAAGCCCCUCAGAAGUCCAUGAAAUCUUUUCCAGGUAUAGCUGCAUCAGUUUCAAAUACAAUCCUCCAUGGUAAAAGCUCUCCUCUAACCCCCACACCACCACCCAGCAUUGGAGCUGGAUGCCCUGCAGACCACCUCCUUGUCUUCACCAGUAACUACCCAUUAGCAGAUUCUCUGUUCUUCUUAACUUUAUCUCCUGCCCACAUGUUAUUUUCCAGGGGAUGUAGGCAGGAUCCUCAGAGCACUGAGGAAUGGCUGAGACCCUCAGGUGAAACCUUAUCCACUCCAUCGUCUCUCGCACCCAACUCUCAUCACCACUGAAGCUGUCAGAGGCUGCCCAGCUCAGAGCUGCAGGAUGAAUGUCCAAAGGAGAGGCAUACCUGUACAGAAGGCACCUGGUUCAGCCAGUCUGGAGCAGGAUGGCAGCAACUAACUCCUAUACCUUACCCUCACCCCACCUGCCCCAGCAGCACAGAUAAGUAGAGCCAACAGGAUGAGGUGGUGCCAACAGGAGAGGGGCUCUUGCAAGCUGGACACUUCCAGCUGCUUUCCCCAAAGCAAAGCAGGACAUUUGCUCAUACCCUCAAUGCUUGGCUGUCCAAGGGCAUUGCACAAGACCCCUUUUCUCUUUGUGGAUCGCAGCUGCUCCCCAGCAGCAAGGAAUCAAAUUGCCUCAUUAUGGUUUUAGGAUUGCUAAUUGCCAGUUACAAGAAACCCAGCCAUAGAAGACAAUGUCUCUCUCUACGCCCUGAAAGACAACACUGGCCCUGGGGAUGAUCUCUGGGUGCAGCAGCCCAUACACACAGCACUGAGUGGGUGAUUUUUCCUGGCUUCUCCUCCUUGUGCAUAGAUUUGUGAUGACAUGGUAAUUCAUGAGGCACCAGCCUCAGUGAGAGCUGAAGAAGCCCAACUUGCACCCUGGUUUUUACAUCCAUUCUCACAUAGCAACUGGCUCUGCUCUUUUGGGAUGCUGAACCACCGCUGUUCCACAGGGCCAGCCUGGAGGAGCUGCCUCAGCCCGAACUUCUGGCCUGGUUUUGUUUGCCCUGCAGAUUGCUUUCUUCACACUGUAUUUGAUUACCUGCCAUAUAUCUGUGGGAGAUAUCACCUUUUACAACUUCCUCAUAUCACGUAUUCAGGAUUAACACAGCUACUGCUAGAACACCCUUAUGCUUGUGUUCUUCAUCCUGUUCACUUUACAGGCAACCCAUAUAUGUUUCCCAUGCUCCGCUCCUGGGCAGUGCUGGAGAUCAGACUGGUUUAGAAGUGAAACCACCCAACUCCUCAUUGUGCACAAUGAAUGGCUUUGAGCAGCAGAAUAAGUCACACAGCCCCUUCUUCUUUAAGACCCACACUCCUCUGUGUGCCAAUUGCAUGCCUCAAGCACUCCCUGUGCACAGAUCAAUGGGCAAUCCCAGUGAGCCCACCCUGAGCUGCAGAUAGCUCAGACUGAUCUCCCUUUGUGCUGUAGUGAUAUUACUAAAUCAUAUUUUUAUUGCUGUCAUAUUGGUUAAAAAAUAUGCACUUCAGUACAACCAUU